rnacentral:rRNA from 1 species
GAUGAACGCUGGCGGCGUGCCUAAUACAUGCAAGUCGAGCGAACGGACGAGAAGCUUGCUUCUCUGAUGUUAGCGGCGGACGGGUGAGUAACACGUGGAUAACCUACCUAUAAGACUGGGAUAACUUCGGGAAACCGGAGCUAAUACCUGAUAAUAUUUUGAACCGCAUGGUUCAAAAGUAAAAGACGGUCUUGCUGUCACUUAUAGAUGGAUCCGCGCUGCAUUAGCUAGUUGGUAAGGUAACGGCUUACCAAGGCAACGAUGCAUAGCCGACCUGAGAGGGUGAUCGGCCACACUGGAACUGAGACACGGUCCAGACUCCUACGGGAGGCAGCAGUAGGGAAUCUUCCGCAAUGGGCGAAAGCCUGACGGAGCAAAGCCGCGUGAGUGAUGAAGGUCUUCGGAUCGUAAAACUCUGUUAUUAGGGAAGAACAUAUGUGUAAGUAACUGUGCACAUCUUGACGGUACCUAAUCAGAAAGCCACGGCUAACUACGUG